AGUGAACGCUGGCGGUAGGCCUAACACAUGCAAGUCGAACGGCAGCACAGUAAGAGCUUGCUCUUACGGGUGGCGAGUGGCGGACGGGUGAGGAAUACAUCGGAAUCUACUUUUUCGUGGGGGAUAACGUAGGGAAACUUACGCUAAUACCGCAUACGACCUACGGGUGAAAGCAGGGGAUCUUCGGACCUUGCGCGAUUGAAUGAGCCGAUGUCGGAUUAGCUAGUUGGGGGGGUAAAGGCCCACCAAGGCGACGAUCCGUAGCUUGUCUGAGAGGAUGAUCAGCCACACUGGAACUGAGACACGGUCCAGACUCCUACGGGAGGCAGCAGUGGGGAAUAUUAGACAAUGGGCGCAAGCCUGAUCCAGCCAUACCGCGUGUGUGAAGAAGGCCUUCGGGUUGUAAAGCCCUUUUGUUGGGAAAGAAAAGCAGCAGGUUAAUACCCCGCUGUUCUGACGGUACCCAAAGAAUAAGCACCGGCUAACUUCGUG
rnacentral:rRNA from 1 species